rnacentral:lncRNA from 1 species
AAGGAAGGAAGAGAAAUUCAAGAAUAUGUUUAAAAAAAAUGCAAAAAAAUUUCCCACCACCUGAAAUCCCACCACCUAGAGAUACACACUAUUAAUAUUUUAACCACGGUCUUUUCAAGUAUCUCUGUAUACAUUGAAAUGUUAUACACAUACUCACCUAUAUAUCAGUAAUACUCAUAAUUGUAUGUUAAGUGAGAUACUUCUGGUUAUCUUAUAUACUUGGCGUAAAUUCCAAUGAUACUGAGAACAGAGGCAAAUAACAUUAAUUAAUUGUAACAUAUUAACAAGGUUUUAAACGUGUUGGCAAAUGACUAAUUAGAAUUUAUGGUUCCCCCCUCCAGGACCAGAUCCCUAUUCCAGGACCAAAAUUUCAUUCUCCAUGUUCCAAUUUUUUAACAGCUUGAGUGACACUCCACAACUUAUAGUCAUCCAAACAGAGCUGUCACUUCCUCCUUCCCAGAGGUGACCCACAUCCAAUUACUGCUUGAGGAAGAAUUUAAAAGGACCAGCCUUCUUGUGUCAAAUUGAGACAGCUCUAAACAGCCUUCCCAACUUCAGAGCUCUCCCUAAGAUGUGUUGAAGUAUUUUCUGUGAUUGCAUCCGCAGCUAAACCUCUCUCUGUCCUAAAACCCACCACACAUGUUGAAAUCAAUUUCAAUAAAUUUGUGUGCUUCUCCUAUAAAAGCCAGCUUCCCAGGGAAUUCUAUCUGUAAUGAUAGCAAACCAAUCAAAGAGACAGAGGUGGGGUGACUGUAGGAAUUCCUAUGGUAUAGAUAGUACUACAGUACCUCUCUUUCUCUCCCUGAGAGAAAGGAAAAGCAUCAUUUUCCUUUCUCUCAGGGGCAUGGGACAGAGGUGGGGCGAUUAUAGGAAUUCCUAUGGUACAAACAGUACUGCAGUGUCUGUCUUACUCUCUCUGAGAGAAAAGAAAAACACCAUUUUUCUAACAUCCUUAAGCCAAGCAAGAAGGCCACAAGAUAAAGAACUCCAAUUAAAAAAAUAGAAGGGUUUGGGAAAUUGUGUGCCUUCAAGAAAAGUCUGAAAGUAAAUCUUCCUCUUUGGUCCAUGCUUAUCUGGAGCUAUUGUGAACAGCAAAAUGAAAAGCAAGAGUAGGAGUGAUAGCUGCCACCUGCCUUUGUUAGGUCAAGGGUGUCCGCAUUCCCAUGGGCCACAAGGAAGCUGUCAGAUGUGGCUAAGUCAGUCAUCUGGAAAGGAAAUUACCACAAAGAGCUUCUUGCUGGAGCGAGCUGAUGCUAGAAAAUGAAGCUAAUGGUGUACCAUUAAAUAUUAUUUAAAAAAAGACAAGUAAAACCCUGACUCUCAUAUAAAUAUAUACAAAAAGUUUCUUAGCUCACUUCCUAAUGAGGGAAUCAGUAAGUGGUCACAACUAGUUUAAAAAACAACCUAAAGAACAGACAAACAUAUAAGCCCAUCAGCAAUGUUGAAAUUAAUUUUCCUAAUAGAUGCAAAACUGGCAACAAACAAUCCACAAGACAAUGUCAAUUGCAUUCCAUUGGACACAAUUUGUAUUUUUAUGGAUCUGAAUUAUUUGCAUUACUAUCAAAUUUCUAUAACUUAAAGUUGUAACAUAGAGGAAAAGACACUCGGAAGAGUAACCCAUAUAUACAGCCACUCAUAUUCAGAUAUCACUGAAGGACAGAAGCUGAGGGACAUCUCAAAACAGCAGCAGAAGCAGAAGACGGUCCAUGUGAAAGGGCAUAGUUGAUGAUAGUUGAGACCCAACCAUUACACAAAUUGUCUGCAAAUAAAUGAUAAUUUUGGAUUCUUGCUGGAACAGAGAGCAUUUAUCAGUCACACAAAGGCAAAAAACAAUAUGAGAAAAAGAUCUGUAUCUUCUUUAUUUCCAUUUUUAUCCCCCAGGGCCUGCCCAUCACUGAAGAGUCCAGAGAUAAUGCAAUGGGGAGGAGAGGGGAGGAGAAAAGGAAGAGUGAAAUCCACUGAUGGCCCCCAUGGGUGGAGAGGGAGGAGCUUUAAACCAAAUGUAAGCUCAAAUUGUUCCAUAGACUGGACUAGACUUUUUAACUUGAAGAUAAGACUAUUUUCUUGCCUAAAUUUUGCCAAACAACUAUUAUUAUGCUGAUUAUGGUUUGUUCCCUUCCUUGUACUUUCCUGCCCAGCUUCUUGUCCAGGAGACUGACCCCUGCACACUGCAUUUUCCUGGCCCCUGUCAUUUGGUUUCCAACUGUGUCCAUUUAAUUAAGGCACCAGCAGGAGUUCAGAAAGGGAAUUCAAGGUAUUCAAUUCAUAUACACCCUCUUUACUGGGUAUGGCUGGGUAAUGUAUACUGAGUUCCAUGGCUUCAGUUUCCUGCUUCAAGGGUCCAAGUAACCCUUGCCUACCUUCAUCUCUGACCACAUACAGCUGGUAUGGGUGUCCCUAAGCACUUCACACACUCUUCCUGGUUUCCUUAUUCUUCACAUUCUCUCUGUAAUACCACCUUAUUAAACUCCUCUUUAUUUCAAUGUUAAAUGUGCCAUCUGUUUCCUGAUGUGACCCAAACUGACUGAUACAUAUGGGAUCUGUCAAAAAUAUCAUCCAAAGCCGCUGAAUAUCUGUCGGAAUGUGAUUGAAGCAGUGGCCUGAGAAAAACAAAACAGCUUUCUUUGUACAUUUUCCUAUGUCUAACUAGUUCAGUGAAGAUUUUGUAUGUUUUUUUAUUAACGUAUUUUUGAUUUACAAAGUGCUAGUUUCUGCUGUGCAGCACAGUGACCCAGUCAUACAUACAUAUAUAUACAUAUAUAUAUAUUCUUUUUCUCAUCUCGUCCCCCAUCAUGUUAUGUCCCAAGAGAUUAGACAUAGUUCCAUGUGCUGGACAGUAGGACAUCAUUGCCCAUCUAUUCUUAAUGUAACAGUUUGCAUCUACUAACCCCAAACUCCCAGGGCAUCACACUCCCACCCCUCUCCCCCUUGGCAACCACAAGUCUGUUUUCCAUUCUGGGAGUCUGCUUCUGUUUUGUAGAUAUGUUCAUUUGUGCCGUAUUUUAGAUUUGACAUAUAAGUGACAUCAUAUGGUAUUUUUCUUUCUCUUUCUGAUUUUCUUCACUUAAUAUGAAAAUCUCUAGGUGCAUCCAUGUUGCUGCAAAUGGCAUUAUUUCAUUCUUUUUUAUGGCUGAGUAGUAUUCACUGUGUAUAUGUACCAUAUGUUCUUAAUCCAUUCAUCUGUUGGUGGACAUUUAGAUUGUUUCCAUGUCUUGGCUAUUGCGAAUAAUAUAAUAUAAUGUAAUAUAUAUAAUUCUGCAGUGGACAUAGGGGUGCAUGUAUCUUUUUGAAUUAUAGUUUUGUUUGGAUAUAUGCCCAGAAAUGAGAUUGCUGGAUCAUAUGGUAGUCUAUAUAUUUAAUUUUCUGAGGAACCUCGAUACUGUUUUCCAUAGCAGUUGUACCAAUUUACAUUCCUACCAACAGUGUAUGAGGGUUAGAAAUAUUAAUUUUAAUAUAUUUAAAUAUUUAUAUUUAUUAAGUAUAAUGAAUUAUAUUUAUAGAUGGCAUAUUAGAGCUUAUCCUCUUUUGUAAACAGUGUUUCCCACCUAAAAAUAUAUCAAGAAUAUUUUUGGGGAUUUCCCAUGAUGGUUCAGCAGUAAUGAACCCAACUAGUAUCCAUAAGGAUGCAGGUUUCAUCCCUGGCCUUGCUCAGUGGGUUAAGAAUCUGGUGUUGCUGUGACAUGGCUUGGAUCCUGCAUUGCUAUGGCUGUGGUGUAGGGCAGCAGCUGUAGCUCCGAUUCA